GGAUCUUUCCAGCGUCCUGCUCUGCUGCUAACAGCCUGCCUUUUCAUCUUUCCUCUCCCACGGCUUGCAGUUUGCACAGACCGCAGUUUUUGGCAUCACGUGCAAGCACAAGAACCAGCAGGUGUGGGAGUCUGUGGUGUUCAGCCGUGAGAAGACACGGGCCUGAGAACACCGAGAAGAAAGAACCAGCAGGCGAGGGAGCAUGUGGUGUUCAGCCGUGAGAAGACACGGGCCUGAGAACACCGAGAAGAAAAAAUGGUUUCUUUCUAUUUGUGUUUCUCUCCUGAAGCCUCUCAGCUGGACUGCUCCCUCAUGACUCAUUGGCUGAAGUUGGGCCACACACUCCUGCCCUCAUCAGCAACUGCAAGGGCAGAGCCUUACCAUGUGCCCCAAGGCUGGAGUGUGAGGCCACCACCUCUGCCGCAUGGGCAUCAGGGAACGUCUCUGUGGACCAGGAAAACCGGGUGGGGUCUUGGUGGGCUGCCAGCGGCGCUUCCCACCUGUGCUGUGCUGGCUCCACACGGAGCAGAAGAACAUUGACCUCCAGUGUUUGCCGAAAGGCUCCAUGCCUGGGUCUUCUGGACAAGCAUUAGUGGGUCCUGUGACUUGUCCUGCGUUCACCUCUAGGAUCCUGCCCCACUGUGGCUGCCACUUGUUCAGCUGUUUAACAGAAGUGGUGGUGCAGGUAGGAUUUUACACUUGGAAAUUUAAAUUUAUGUCAAUGUACUAAUAUAAAUUUCUUUGUUGAACUUAUCAUAAAACUAGUACCAAAUUAUCAUCUAGUCUUUGGCAAUUUCAGAGGUGACAGUGAGUGAAGGAAGUGGAACCUUAGGUUACAGAUUAGGUAAUCCCAUCGUAAGAGAUUAUCUCUUGUGAGCACUACUCAUGGGUGAUUCCUUUCCUCUGCAUGGGAUGAAGAGUUACUGAGUAAUUACAGAUGAAAGUGACUUUGGAUCAGCCCCAAAGAAGGCUUUGUGAACCAGUUGGGGGUCUAGGACAGUCACUGAAUGUGCAGAUGACUGGACUCUGUGCAGCCCCUUGAAGACGCAUCAAGAGACAAGGCAUUUCAUGCUGCACACUCGCACCUGUUCUGAGUCUUCAAGUGAAGUUGUUAAGGUCAAGCUCUGAAAAAUCUUCCUGGAAACCAGUUAAUACAUUUUUAUUUUUGUGUUGAACCAGAAUUUACCAUACAGGUUUGGCCAUAGGGCCCAUCAUUAAUAUUUUGGGUUGUGUGUUAAUAUCACCAAGAAUCAGCCUUCAUGGAGCAUAUUUUGACAGUCAUACCCUAACCUAGUGGGUUUCCCUAGUGGCUAAGAUGGUAAACAAUCGGCCUGAAAUGUGAGAGACCUGGGAUCAAUCCCUGGGUAGGAUAGAUCAUGAAGAAGGGAAUGGCAAAUCACUCCAGUAUUCUUGCCUGGAGAGUUUCAAGGACAGAGGAACCUGGUGGGCCACAGCUCACGGGGUCGCAAAGAGUUGAACACGACUGAGCGAUUAACACCACACCACCAUGCUAACCUAGUAAGUUACUUGUGAACCAAACCUGAAGCCUUUGACAAUGUAAUCUGUUCAAGUUUGUCUCAGAAGCUGACUGAACUAAAAGGAGCAUGUCCGCAUGGCCCCACUGUCUCAGAAGCUGACAGAACUGAGAGGAGUGUGUCUGAAUUUCCCCACUGUGUCCAGAACCUGACUGAACUGAGAGGAGCAUAUCUACAUGGCCCUCACUGUUUCCA
rnacentral:lncRNA from 1 species